CGUGGGGGAGUGCCUAACACAUGCAAGUCGAACGGGAAUCUUCGGAUUCUAGUGGCGGACGGGUGAGUAACGCGUAAGAAUCUAACUUCAGGACGGGGACAACAGUUGGAAACGACUGCUAAUACCCGAUGUGCCGCAAGGUGAAAACUAAUUGGCCUGAAGAAGAGCUUGCGUCUGAUUAGCUAGUUGGUGGGGUAAGAGCCUACCAAGGCGACGAUCAGUAGCUGGUCUGAGAGGAUGAGCAGCCACACUGGGACUGAGACACGGCCCAGACUCCUACGGGAGGCAGCAGUGGGGAAUUUUCCGCAAUGGGCGAAAGCCUGAGGGACGAAGGCUAGGGGAGGGAGGAAGGUCUUUGGAUUGUAAACCUCUUUUCUCAAGGAAGAAG
rnacentral:rRNA from 1 species